GCUCCAUGCUUGAAGCCCCUAAUGACAACACCGGAGUUGGGGGUGUAGUCGUUGACCUCAAUUUCUUCACCUUUUUGAAAGAAGGCUCUCCUCAGGAGGAGCUCGACCUCUUUUUGAAGGCAGACUUGAUCGACUCCAAUGAGGGCCGCUUAUUGCUGCAACACCGAACAAAAGGGUCACAAGGUUAAAGAAGAUCAGCUAUACCCUGA
rnacentral:lncRNA from 1 species